rnacentral:rRNA from 1 species
GACGAACGCUGGCGGCGUGCCUAACACAUGCAAGUCGAGCGGAAAGGCACUGCUUUUGUGGGGGCCUCGAGGGGCGAAGGGGUGUGAAACACGGGUGUAACAUCCCCUUAACUGUGGGAUAACGUCAGGACACGGGGGAUAAUACCGGGUAGGAGCUCCUGCUCCAUGGAGGGGGUUGGAAAGGUUUGGCGGUUGGGGAUGGACUCGCGGCUCAGCAGCUUGUUGGGGGGGUAGUGGCUUACCAAGGCUUUGACGGGUAGCCGGCCUGGGAGGGUGACCGGCCCCAAUGGGACUGCGGUACGGCCCAGAGUGCUACGUGGGGCAGCGGUGGGAAGUGUUACGCAACAGGCGGACGCCUGAUGCAGCGACGCCGCGUUCGGGAUGACGGUCUUCGGGUUAUAAACCGCUGUCGCCUGUGACGAAGCGUGAGUGACGGUAAUGGGUAAAGAAGCACCGGCUAACUACGUG